GUCGUGAUGCCAGAGUGGUUAAUGGGUUAGACUUGAAUUCUUCGUUCAGUCAUCUAAUGGCUUCGGCCUCGCAAGUUCGAAUCUUGUUCACGACG
rnacentral:tRNA from 1 species